AGCUGUGUGGUAUAGUGGUUUGAGCACUGAACUAUAACUGCAGACUCUGGUGACCAGGGCUUGAUUCCCUGCUCAGCCA